rnacentral:lncRNA from 1 species
UUUUCUAGAUGGGUAAUUUUACAUUUCACUUUCUUUUUUAUUAUUAAAUUCCUUAGUUCAGAUUUGAUCCCAUUUAUAACAUCUCUACUUUGUUGGGUGUUUACUUCAGCUUCUAGAAUAUUUCCUGAAGUAUAUUUUUCAUUUUUGUUUUGUUUACAAUUUGAACUAUUCUACAAUUUUUCCCUUAAAAUAACUGUUUCUGAAAUUGUCUCAUUUUAGUCAAUUUUUAAGUUUUUAUUGCCCUCUUAAAACAAACUUGUUAAGUUUAUAUAACUGGGUGAUUUAAAUCUUUUCUUUACUAUCUUUCAGCUUAUUAAGCAUUUUCCCUGGCUAAGCAUUAGCUAAACUAGUUGGUAUAGAUAUGCAAUGGUAAACUGAUUGGUAUAGAUAUGUAAUGGAGGAAAUAAACUGUGUAACAAAAUAUUAAAUUUAGUUUAAAAAUUUCUGCCUGUAUUGCAAAUUUAGGAAAAUCCUUAAUUAUGCCCCUUAACUUGGCUCUAGAUAAGAAUUUUAAUUCAAUCUUUUGGCCUCAAAAUUUUACAAUAUAAUUGUUCUUCCUCUGAAAAAACCCUGAGAAAAGAAUAGCUCAUUUAGAAAGUCUAGUAAAAUUGAGUAGAAAACAAGAGAGAAAUGCAAAGUGAAUAGGUUUCAAAAAGUUACAAAGUCUUUGAGAGAGACUGUCUUGAGUUAGAACUUUUUUGAGCUCUUAGCAUGACAUAGAAGCUGACUAAUGGAGUUCCCGUCGUGGCGCAGUGGCUAACGAAUCCGAGUAGGAACCGUGAGGUUGAGGGUUCGGUCCCUGCCCUUGCUCAUGUGGGCUUUUGAAAGGUAUUUGGGUUCUCCAACAAAGCAGAGACUAACUAGGAAGAGGCCACUCACUCAACAACCUGACGCUUGAUGCUUGAGUAUGGACAAAACAAAGUGAACAAAUUAACAAGAAAGAGUGUACUCCUAUAAAAAAGGUUUUAUAGGAGAUUCUAGAUAAAGUUUGACAAACUCUUUUUUUUUUCCCCCUCACAAAUUGACUGCUGGUCUAACAACAGAUCUCCAACCAUUAGCCCUCAAGUCUGGCUUGUGCUGAAUUGAAAACCUACUGGGCUUAUGCACCCAUCGGUUCCCUAUGGAAUACCCACUUACACAUUCAAAAGAAACAAAACAACCAAGAACAAAGCAAAAACACAGGAAAGAAGACUGUGUACAUGUAGGCAAACAGCAGCAAAAGCAAGGCAAUCAACAGGAGACCAAGCAGGUUAACGGUGAAAAAAAUUUCUCAAAUGGCAUACCUCAAAACAAAAGGUAUAAUGAUUUUAUGCACCUAUUUAGUGAACACAUCUAAACCAAAAAGUCUAAUUGCUCUAUACAAAGACCUAGGCUUAAACAUAGACAUAUUUGUUUACAAAUCCUAGAAUAACAAAAUAAAUUCAACUAUCACGUAACAUCUGAAAUAAAAAGACAAAGCAAAUUUAUUGUUUAUUAUAGUAAGAGAUGUCAGUUAGACACAGUCUUUUUUAGCAGAACCCAUUGCC